rnacentral:tRNA from 1 species
AGUAUGGUGCCUGAUAAAAAGGAUAGUUUUGAUAGAACUACUCAUGUAGAAUUCUACCCAUCCUA